GGCGAACGCUGGCGGCGUGCUUAACACAUGCAAGUCGAACGAUGAAGCCGGAGCUUGCUCUGGUGAAUUAGUGGCGAACGGGUGAGUAACACGUGAGUAACCUGCCCUUGACUCUGGGAUAACUGCGGGAAACUGUAGCUAAUACCGGAUACGACCCUCGGAGGCAUCUCCUGGGGGUGGAAAGAAUUUCGGUCAAGGAUGGACUCGCGGCCUAUCAGCUAGUUGGUGAGGUAACGGCUCACCAAGGCGACGACGGGUAGCCGGCCUGAGAGGGUGACCGGCCACACUGGGACUGAGACACGGCCCAGACUCCUGCGGGAGGCAGCAGUGGGGAAUAUUGCACAAUGGGCGCAAGCCUGAGGCAGCAACGCCGCGUGAGGGAUGACGGCCUUCGGGUUGUAAACCUCUUUUAGCAGGGAAGAAGCGAAAGUGACGGUACCUGCAGAAAAAGCACCGGCUAACUACGUGCCAGCCGCCGCGGUAA
rnacentral:rRNA from 1 species